GUGCUCACUUCGGCAGUACAUACACUAAAAUUGGAACAAUAUAAAGAAUUAGACUGGGUCUGCACAAGGAUUGCAUGCAAAUUUGUGACACAUUCCAUAUUUUU